UGAUUUAGUGAGUAACUUUUCUAGGCCAACAACAGACCAGAUACAACAACCUGACUAUUAUAUUGCAAUGCAACACUUUUUGGAAAGUUUCUAUACAAUCUAAUACAAUCUUAAUUCCGCUGUUUUACGAAUUUACUAAAACUCAAACCCUGGUUACGGCCCUGAACGGGUACUAAAAUGUUGUUUGUAUUCUUUCAUUAAUGUGUGCAGAAUAAUGAGAUGGCAAUGAAUGUUUUAACUAACCUGUUCUGAAGGCUGGAACAAGUUUGAAUCCUGUUGGUACUUCGUCUCUUCUGAGAGUAAAACCUGGAGUGAGAGCAGACAGGACUGUGUGGAGAGAGGAGCAGACCUGGUGAUUGUAAACAGCAGAGAGAAACAGAGAUUUCUCUUUAGCCUCAACAAGAGAUUCUGGAUCGGUUUGACUGACAGAGAGACUGAGGGGUCCUGGAAAUGGGUAGACGGCACACCACUGAUAACAAGUUACUGGAUAAUCGACCAGCCUAAUAAUGGACGAAGUAUUUCAACCUUUCCGGGGGAGGACUGUGUUGUACUAAGAAAUGGACAAGACCAGCCUGAAAAGACAUGGAAUGAUAUAAAUUGUACACAAAAGCGUAUCUGGAUUUGUGAGUUGUGUAACAAUAACAUACUGUAACAACUACCCAUCCACCAUCUCCCCGUCUAUCUCUCUCUCUCUCUCUCUGACUCUCCCUCUGUCUCCAUCCCUACUCAUUUAUGUUCUUUUCAUUCUGAACAUAUGAAUCAAUUUCCCAUUUACUUCCUGGGAUGCAUUAGUAGCUUCCUGUCUUCAGUAGUUAAAUGAUGGACACAUCAGACACAGACAAUGAUUGAGACACAACAUCACUAAAAGUAAACAGCUGCAUUAGAACAGAUAGAAAGGACCCGUAUGAGGUUGUUAAGUCAGUACAGUCGACUCCUGAUAGGUACACCCAGUGUGAGACCUGGGUUCAAAUACAACUUGAAAUCGUUCAAAAGCUUUGAUCGUUUGCUUUAGCCUGCCUUCAGAGCCAGGUGGGUACUGGGGCUUUUCUGUUGCAACAGAAGUAUUUUAAAUCAUUUCAUAUAGAGAGGCAUUCUGGUAGUACUCCUUAGACACUGGAUUCAUUUAUUAGGUCUCGUCGUCUCCGAAUUCACAGACACCCAAAUGUAAAUUUUGAAAUGGCCUAUUGAUUAACAAGACACACUGUUUAUCUUAUUAUUUUGUGCUAUAAUUUGCAGUUUACCUUGGAACAUAUUAUCAUUAGAAUUAUUUUACAUUGUUGUGUCUCAAUGGGCCGCAAGGCUAUAAAUAGUAUUUAUGUGCAAUGGUCAGGUCACUCUGAGGAAGAUGUCAGCUUUAUGUUGAAAUGUCAGUCACCUCUUCGCAUCCUGUACAAUGUAUUAAAGUGAGCAAUAAGAAAU